UAAAGUUAAGGGCAAACCUUCGGAAACGUUGGGACGCAAAGCCAUGACCUAAGGCAUUUUAUGCUAUGGUUGACAGGUUGCCGAG
rnacentral:ncRNA from 1 species